AUCCUCUCUUAAAAAGGAGAAGGAAAUCCGACAAAUACAGCAACAACAUAAUGAAGUGGUUUCAACUAUGGAGAAAAAUCAAAAUAACUUAACUUCCAAGUUGGAUGGUUUAACAAACUUGAUUAAAAUGUUGUUGCAACAAGUCAAUCCUGGUAUGAGUGCAGAACAAGUGCAAGUAAUGAUAGAAGCCGCCCAACAAUCUCCGCCUGACGCGAGUAGUGCACCAAAUGAUGCGCGGCGAAGCAUUCCUCCUUCACUUGGAUCGAACCAUGUAUCAAAGGAUAUGGAAGGAAGUAUUGUUCAAAACUUCUAGUUAAAUUAAUAGUAUGCUUUUGGUUGUUGUUUGAUUAGGUUAGCUUAGUUGAAUUAGGUGGUUAGGUAGUCAAUUGAUUUUGUAGUGGAUUUAGGUUUGAACUUUGAUGUUUAUUCUAUCUGAAAUUGGUUUUCCUGUGCUGGUAAUGACUUGCCUUGUUCUAAUUUAGUUUUCUGCUGCUGCUUCAUUGAUCUGCCCUGUGCUAAAUUAGUUUGCUUGGUGCUAUUGAUUAGGUUUAAACUGUUAUUGAUACUAUAUUGCUGUUUCAUUGAUUUACUUUUGUGCUAAACUGGUUUAUAUGAUGCUGCUGCAUAGUAUUAUUGCUGCCUUAUUCUUGUGUUAGCUGCUGCUGGAAUGAACAAAUUCUGAAUUAUUUGUGCAGUAGUGAUAACUUUGAUGAAUUUCUGAGUCUAAGCUAUCACUACUGCUGCAUUCUUGCAAUAGCUGCUGUUUGAAGUGAAUGAUGGUUGUGAAUAAUUCUUGAGUGUUGUUGUGGAUGAAUGUUUCCCUUCUUUUGCUGCAUAUGUAUUGUAUCAUCAAAAGCAUUUUUGCAAGAUAUCUAACAUGUUUAUUUCUUUUAUGUGCAGGAAAGCAUGAUGUGAUGAAGAAAAUAUGUUCCAUACAAAUAUCACAUGGGAUGGGUCUUACAAUGACCUUAGUUAUGUAAAUGUAAUAUUUUGAUGUGUUAUGUACUUUUUUGAGGUAUUACAUGUAAUUGGAAAAAUUACACUCUAUUUUGAUUUGUGUUGUUUAGACUAAAAAUUAAACAUAUCUAUCUUAUAAUGAAAAUUUUAUGAUUUA